CCGUCUCCUUCACGAGAAACAAUUUUCUGUGUUUUCUUUCCCAAAAAAAACUCAGUCGACCAUCUUUUCUUUGUCCCCCAUCUCUACCAGCAUGUCAUAUCUCUCAGAUUUUCAAUACCAUCCCCUCAACUAAAAAGCCUCCCCUGAUUUCCUUACAAUUUCCGGCAACAGAAUCUCGAACUCGAUCUCUGUUGACCCAUCCCCCUCUAACCCUAAUUAUCUGUCACCCUUUGUUACUCUCUACCCAAUACCGUUUCACAUCAAAUCAAUCUUCUUACUGCACGCAACAAUUUCACCUCUCCCCUACUGAUAGAAGCUCGGAAUGAAGAUUGAUUUGAGGUUUUAAGACAUCGAGACAAGGUCAGGCGGUGUUGUACAAGCAGCAAGAAUUAUCAAUUCAUCUAAAUCUGAGUUUACAUUACCGACAGUAACAGCAGGAAAUGGCAGCGGUGAGCACAAGCAACAAAUGCUGUCAAAUUAUGUCUGAUGUUGUUCUCCUUUCAAACACCGAAAAUAUCAGUCCAUUAGUGAAGAUAGUUCAGUGGAUGUGUAGGAUGAGGAGUGUUUUCAGUGAUGAGUUUCAAUGACAUGAAAACCCUAAAUUUUAUAUUGUAUUUGUUGACUAGAGGGACUGGUAAUUGAGGAGGAAAUGUAUAAAUAUGGGAUGUCAUGAUGUAUUUGAGGUAUCUGCAAUACUGAAGUACGAGCCAAGGACGAUGAGAAGAAGGAGCAUAACAAUCUGUGGAAAUGCCUAAACCCGGUUUUAUACCGGCGGUAUCAUUCUUCAAAACUUGAUGUCUGUCUUGAAUGAUGACCAUGUCUGCUCACUUAACUAGUGCUAACUGACCGUUGUCAAACCCCUGUAACAUAUAACAUCUUUGUGCAUCUGUGAUAUCUAAGUAACUUAUAUCUGUGCUUAUCUCUGUAAAAUACCUUUUUUUGUG